rnacentral:rRNA from 1 species
GACGAACGCGGCGGCGUGCUUAACACAUGCAAGUCGAACGAAGAGCGAUGGAAGCUUGCUUCCAUCAAUUUAGUGGCGAACGGGUGAGUAACGCGUAAUCAACCUGCCCUUCAGAGGGGGACAACAGUUGGAAACGACUGCUAAUACCGCAUACGAUCUAACCUUGGCAUCGAGGAUGGAUGAAAGGUGGCCUCUAUUUAUAAGCUAUCACUGAAGGAGGGGAUUGCGUCUGAUUAGCUAGUUGGAGGGGUAACGGCCCACCAAGGCGAUGAUCAGUAGCCGGUCUGAGAGGAUGAACGGCCACAUUGGGACUGAGACACGGCCCAGACUCCUACGGGAGGCAGCAGUGGGGAAUCUUCCGCAAUGGACGAAAGUCUGACGGAGCAACGCCGCGUGAGUGAUGACGGCCUUCGGGUUGUAAAGCUCUGUUAAUCGGGACGAAAGGCCUUCUUGCGAAUAGUAAGAAGGAU